GUAGGAUAGGUGGGAGGCUUUGAAGCACGUACGCCAGUAUGUGUGGAGCCGUCCUUGAAAUACCACCCUUGUAGUGUUGAUGUUCUAACGUCGACCCCUAAUCGGGGUUGCGGACAGUGCCUGGUGGGUAGUUUGACUGGGGCGGUCUCCUCCCAAAGAGUAACGGAGGAGCACGAAGGUGGGCUAAUCACGGUUGGACAU
rnacentral:rRNA from 1 species